UGUUUUGGCAUGUGAACAGCGAAAGUGAUCUCUGCCGCACCCACAAGCUAGUAAUCAAUGAUGUUUUGUGUUGUGCCGAUAAUAAUGAGAUUGCAUUUCGCUAGGUACUACUGCCUGUGCAUCUCAAAAGAUACUCGAAGCAGUCAUACAAUGUGUCAUGUUAGAACUUGUGGGCCUGUGAAAACUUGCACAAAAAUAAGAUAAAAUGUGCCCUGCAUAAAAAAGAUAAAAAGGUGAACAUGUUCUAACAUGAUGAACAUCUAUGAAUAUUUUGAGAUGAACAAUUACUUAAAUCCAAAAACUCAAGCACCCAUCCUUGCAUGUGCAUUUGCCUUUCCUGAUAGUUUAAAGCAUACUUCAAUGUUGUAGCCAACUUCUGUUGUUUAUUUCCCUAGCAAAGUUUGCAUUCAUGAUAUAUUUUUCUUUAUUAAACAAUGUUAACAGUACUAAACGGAAGUAAAGGACAAUAUCAAAUUUCAUAACUUGAAAACUUCAGCUGUUAAUUUUGAAAAAAAAA